UACGUAGGUGACAAGCGUUGUCCGGAUUUACUGGGCGUAAAGAGCGCGCAGGCGGUCGUUCAAGUCGAGUGUGAAAGCCCCCGGCUCAACUGGGGAGGGGCACUCGAUACUGAUCGACUCGAAGGCAGGAGAGGGAAGUGGAAUUCCCGGUGUAGCGGUGAAAUGCGUAGAUAUUGGGAGGAACACCAGUGGCGAAGGCGGCUCACUGGACCGGUACUGACGCUGAUGCGCGAAAGCGUGGGGAGCAAACGGG
rnacentral:rRNA from 1 species